GAUGAACGCUGGCGGCGUGCUUAACACAUGCAAGUCGAACGAUGAAGCCCAGAUUGCUGGGUGGAUUAGUGGCGAACGGGUGAGUAACACGUGAGUACCCUGCCCUUAACUCUGGGAUAGGCCUGGGCAACUGGGUAUAAUGCCGGAUAGGAGCGACUACCGCAUGGUGGGUGUUGGAAAGAUUUAUCGGUUUUGGAUGGACUCGCGGCCUAUCAGCUUGUUGGUGAGGUAGUGGCUAACCAAGGCGACGACGGGGAGCCGGCCUGAGAGGGUGACCGGCCACACUGGGACUGAGACACGGCCCAGACUCCUACGGGAGGCAGCAGUGGGGAAUAUUGCACAAUGGGCGAAAGCCUGAUGCAGCGACGCCGCGUGAGGGAUGACGGCCUUCGGGUUGUAAACCUCUUUCAGUAGGGAAGAAGCGAAAGUGACGGUACCUGCAGAAGAAGCACCGGCUAACUACGUG
rnacentral:rRNA from 1 species